rnacentral:lncRNA from 1 species
UUUGAAUCUGUAUCAGUGAAUGUAUCGAAAGGGAACAUCCUUCAAUUCAAAUAAGUGAUGUUGUUUUCUUUCAAGUGGCUGAAUUUGUCACUGUGUUUCAGUUUUAUAAGUGUUUAACUUCUAAGGUGAGAAUGAUAAUAUAAGAAUUUCAAUCUCUCUCAACAUACGUUUCUCUUGUCCUCAUUCAAGCUGAAAUACUUAACAUUGCCCCCCUUGAUUACAGGUAUUCAAUGCAAAUUUUUAAGCAUUCAUGGUCUGGAACAGGAAAAAUUUCUGAUUCAUCUGAAUGAUAGAAUUUAAUUGAUUCUCCAUGCAUAUUUUCCUUUCAUUUCACAUUGAAUUUAAUUAGCUGGUGGUCCCAAAGGUUAACACAUUUGUUUUUUCCUUUCAUUUGCAGGACAUAUUUUCAGUCAAUAUUUUAUCUAUAUUUAAGAUAGAGAUAUAGAAGACAUUAGGAUUAGGAUGUA